rnacentral:misc_RNA from 1 species
CAGGACUCGCAAGACUCCCGUAACCACUGUGAAUCUUACCUUUCGUUGCCUCGGCAGGUGCUAGACUCUAGCGCUCACGCCCGCCGGCGGCCCACAACUCGUUGUCAAACGUUAGCAUCUCCGAGCUUAAACACAAACGAAUCA